ACGUCUCAGUUCGGAUUGUAGUCUGCAACUCGACUACAUGAAGCUGGAAUCGCUAGUAAUCGCGAAUCAGAAUGUCGCGGUGAAUACGUUCCCGGGUCUUGUACACACCGCCCGUCACACCAUGGGAGUUGGGAAUGCCCGAAGCCGGUGACCUAACCGAAAGGGAGGAGCCGUCGAAGGCAGGCUUGAUAACUGGGGUGAAGUCGUAACAAGGUAAC
rnacentral:rRNA from 1 species